rnacentral:rRNA from 1 species
GAUGAACGCUGGCGGCGUGCCUAAUACAUGCAAGUCGAGCGAACAGAUGAGGAGCUUGCUCCUCUGACGUUAGCGGCGGACGGGUGAGUAACACGUGGAUAACCUACCUAUAAGACUGGGAUAACUUCGGGAAACCGGAGCUAAUACCGGAUAAUAUAUUGAACCGCAUGGUUCAAUAGUGAAAGACGGUUUUGCUGUCACUUAUAGAUGGUUCCGCGCCGCAUUAGCUAGUUGGUAAGGUAACGGCUUACCAAGGCAACGAUGCGUAGCCGACCUGAGAGGGUGAUCGGCCACACUGGGACUGAGACACGGUCCAGACUCCUACGGGAGGCAGCAGUAGGGAAUCUUCCGCAAUGGGCGAAAGCCUGACGGAGCAACGCCGCGUGAGUGAUGAAGGUCUUCGGAUCGUAAAACUCUGUUAUUAGGGAAGAACAAAUGUGUAAGUAACUAUGCACGUCUUGACGGUACCUAAUCAGAAAGCCACGGCUAACUACGUG